rnacentral:rRNA from 1 species
GUGAGGAAUAUUGCACAAUGGGCGCAAGCCUGAUGCAGCAACGCCGCGUGCGGGACGAAGGCCUUCGGGUCGUAAACCGCUUUUCUGGGGAAAGAGCAAGGACGGUACCUCAGGAAUAAGUCUCGGCUAACUACGUGCCAGCAGCCGCGGUAAAACGUAGGAGGCGAGCGUUAUCCGGAUUUACUGGGCGUAAAGCGCACGCAGGCGGCUCUGUGAGUCGGACGUGAAAGCUCCCGGCUUAACCGGGAGAGGCCGUUCGAUACUGCGGGGCUUGAGGUAGGGAGAGGAAUGCGGAAUUCCCGGUGUAGUGGUGGAAUGCGUAGAUAUCGGGAGGAACACCUGUGGCGAAAGCGGCAUUCUGGCCCUCACCUGACGCUGAGGUGCGAAAGCGUGGGUAGCAAACAGG